CGCGGAGUGGAGCAGUGGUAGCUCGCCAGGCUCAUAACCUGGAGGUCAUUGGUUCGAGUCCUUUCUCCGCAA
rnacentral:tRNA from 1 species